GCCCUUAGAGUUUGAUCCUGGCUCAGAACGAACGCUGGCGGCAGGCCUAACACAUGCAAGUCGAGCGAGGACUUCGGUCCUAGCGGCGGACGGGUGAGUAACGCGUGGGAACGUGCCCCUUGGUACGGAAUAGUCCCGGGAAACUGGGUUUAAUACCGUAUGAGCUCUUCGGAGGAAAGAUUUAUCGCCAAGGGAUCGGCCCGCGUUGGAUUAGGUAGUUGGUGGGGUAAUGGCCUACCAAGCCGACGAUCCAUAGCUGGUUUGAGAGGAUGAUCAGCCACACUGGGACUGAGACACGGCCCAGACUCCUACGGGAGGCAGCAGUGGGGAAUCUUAGACAAUGGGGGAAACCCUGAUCUAGCCAUGCCGCGUGAGCGAUGAAGGCCUUAGGGUUGUAAAGCUCUUUCGCUGGGGAAGAUAAUGACGGUACCCAGUAAAGAAGCCCCGGCUAACUCCGUGCCAGCAGCCGCGGUAAUACGGAGGGGGCUAGCGUUGUUCGGAAUUACUGGGCGUAAAGCGCGCGUAGGCGGGCUGGAAAGUUGGGGGUGAAAUCCCGGGGCUCAACCCCGGAACUGCCUCCAAAACUAUCAGUCUGGAGUUCGAGAGAGGUGAGUGGAAUUGCGAGUGU
rnacentral:rRNA from 1 species